rnacentral:rRNA from 1 species
UUGCCAGCCCGCUCAGAACUUAAAUGAAUUGACGGGGCCGCACAAGCGGAGGAACAUGUGGUUUAAUUCGAUGAUACGCGAGGAACCUUACCUGGGCUAGAACGCAAUCGGAAUCAGGCCGAAAGGUCUGCGCCAGCGAUGGCCGCUUGCGAGGUGCUGCAUGGUUGUCGUCAGCUCGUGCCGUGAGGUGUCGGGUUAAGUCCCAUAACGAGCGCAACCCCUACUGCUAGUUGCCAGCGGGUCAUGCCGGGGACUCUAGCGGAACUGCCAGCGUAAGCUGCGAGGAAGGUGGGGAUGACGUCAAAUCAGCACGGCCCUUACGUCCAGGGCUACACACGUGUUACAAUGGCCAGUACAGAGGGCAGCCACCCCGCGAGGGGGCGCUAAUCCUAAAAGCUGGUCCCAGUUCGGAUCGGAGUCUGCAACCCGACUCCGUGAAGCUGGAUUCGCUAGUAAUCGCGCAUCAGCCACGGCGCGGUGAAUACGUUCCCGGGCCUU